rnacentral:rRNA from 1 species
GAUGAACGCUGGCGGCGUGCCUAAUACAUGCAAGUCGAGCGAACGGACGAGAAGCUUUCUUCUCUGAUGUUAGCGGCGGACGGGUGAGUACCACGUGGCUAACCUACCUAUACGACUGGGAUACCUUCGGGCAACCCUAGCUAAUACCGGAUACUAUUCUGAACCGCAUGGUUCAAAAGUGAAAGACGGUCUUGCUGUCACUUAUAGAUGGAUCCGCGCUGCUUUAGCUAGUUGGUAAGGUAACGGCUUACCAAGGCAACGAUGCAUAGCCGACCUGAGAGGGUGAUCGGCCACACGGGAACUGAGACACGGUACAGACGCCUAGGGGAGGAAGCAGGAGGGAGGCUGCCGCAAUGGGAGAAAGCCUGACGGCGAAACGCCGCGCGAGUGAGGAAGGUCGCCAGUUCGGAAGACCUGUUUACUAGGGAAGAACAUACGUGUAAGGAAUCGUGCAGGUCUGGACGGUAACGAAUCAGAAAACAGCGGUUAACUGCGU